CCUACGGGUGGCAGCAGUGAGGAAUAUUGGUCAAUGGACGAGAGUCUGAACCAGCCAAGUAGCGUGAAGGAUGACUGCCCUAUGGGUUGUAAACUUCUUUUAUAUGGGAAUAAAAUGUUCCACGUGUGGGAUUUUGUAUGUACCAUAUGAAUAAGGAUCGGCUAACUCCGUGCCAGCAGCCGCGGUAAUACGGAGGAUCCGAGCGUUAUCCGGAUUUAUUGGGUUUAAAGGGAGCGUAGGUGGAUUGUUAAGUCAGUUGUGAAAGUUUGCGGCUCAACCGUAAAAUUGCAGUUGAUACUGGCAGUCUUGAGUACAGUAGAGGUAGGCGGAAUUCGUGGUGUAGCGGUGAAAUGCUUAGAUAUCACGAAGAACUCCGAUUGCGAAGGCAGUUCACUGGACUGCCACUGACACUGAGGCUCGAAAGUGUGGGUAUCAAACAGGAUUAGAUACCCGUGUAGUC
rnacentral:rRNA from 1 species